GAUGAACGCUGGCGGCGUGCCUAAUACAUGCAAGUCGAGCGAACGGACGAGAAGCUUGCUUCUCUGAUGUUAGCGGCGGACGGGUGAGUAACACGUGGAUAACCUACCUAUAAGACUGGGAUAACUUCGGGAAACCGGAGCUAAUACCGGAUAAUAUUUUGAACCGCAAGGUUCAAAAGUGAAAGACGGUCUUGCUGUCACUUAUAGAUGGAUCCGCGCUGCAUUAGCUAGUUGGUAAGGUAACGGCUUACCAAGGCAACGAUGCAUAGCCGACCUGAGAGGGUGAUCGCCCACCCUGGAACUGAGACACGGUCCAGACUCCUACGGGAGGCAGCAGUAGGGAACCUUCCGCAAUGGGCGAAAGCCUGACGGAGCAACGCCGCGUGAGUGAGGAAGGUUUUCGGAUCUUAAAACUCUGUUAUUAGGGAAGAACAUAUGUGUAAGUAACUGUGCACAUCUUGACGGUACCUAAUCAGAAAGCCACGGCUAACUACGUG
rnacentral:rRNA from 1 species